UCCCUGGUGGCUCAGACGGUAAAGCAUCUGCCUGCAAUGCGGGAGACCCGGGUUCGAUUCCUGGGUUGGGAA
rfam:TPA: Bos taurus chromosome 5, whole genome shotgun sequence.